rfam:Gossypium raimondii Chr07_contig_88, whole genome shotgun sequence.
AACGUCAGCGCGCUUUGCUGAUGUGGACACAAAUCGCGCUUUCGUGGACGUGAUUUGUUGCCACGUCAGCAAAGUGCGCUGACGUGG